rnacentral:lncRNA from 1 species
AGAGAGAGAGAGUGUGUGUAUGUGUGUAACACACUGGACCUUUGCAAAUUGCGAGGUUUGAGUGUUUGAUCAGUGUUCUGAGUUUUUUCAGAUUUUCUGGCGGGUCGUUGACAGUGUUUUGACCUAUGACUCGUAUCUCAAGAAUUGAGGUAUUUAAAGUAGCACUAAGGUCGCCAAAGAGGAGAACUUAGGCUGCUCUCUGGUUGCCUUCUGUGGGAUUGUGU